rnacentral:rRNA from 1 species
GACGUAGGGCGCGAGCGUUGUCCGGAUUUAUUGGGCGUAAAGAGCUCGUAGGCGGCUUGUCGCGUCGACUGUGAAAACCCGUGGCUCAACCAUGUGGUCUGCAGUCGAUACGGGCAGGCUAGAAUUCGGUAGGGGAGACUGGAAUUCCUGGUGUAGCGGUGAAAUGCGCAGAUAUCAGGAGGAACACCGGUGGCGAAGGCGGGUCUCUGGGCCGAUAUUGACGCUGAGGAGCGAAAGCGUGGGGAGCGAAUAGG